rnacentral:rRNA from 1 species
CCCUUAGAUGUUCUGGGCCGCACGCGCGCUACACUGAUACGUGCAACAAGUCUUUUCCUUGGCCGGGAGGCCCGGGUAAUCUUGGAAAGCGUAUCGUGAUGGGGAUAGAUUAUUGCAAUUUUUAAUCUUCAACGAGGAAUUCCUAGUAAACGCAAGUCAUCAACUUGCAUUGAUUACGUCCCUGCCCUUUGUACACACCGCCCGUCGCUACUACCGAUUGAAUGGCUUAGUGAGUUCCACGGACUUGCGCAUUUGGCGAGCAAUCGCCGUUGGAGCGAGGAAGUGGCACAAACUUGAUCAUUUAGAGGAAGUAAAAGUCGUAACA